rnacentral:rRNA from 1 species
UACAGAGGUCUCAAGCGUUGUUCGGAUUCAUUGGGCGUAAAGGGUGCGUAGGUGGCGUCGUAAGUCAGGUGUGAAAUUUCGGAGCUUAACUUCGAAACUGCAUUUGAUACUGCGGUGCUUGAGGACUGGAGAGGAGACUGGAAUUUACGGUGUAGCAGUGAAAUGCGUAGAGAUCGUAAGGAAGACCAGUGGCGAAGGCGGGGUCUCUGGACAGUUCCUGACACUGAGGCACGAAGGCCAGGGGAGCAAACGGG